UUUUGUGAGGGCAAGAUCUGGUGCCACGCAGCCGCGGUAAUUCCAGCUCCAAUAGCGUAUAUUAAAGUUGUUGCAGUUAAAAAGCUCGUAGUUGAAUUUCGGGAUCAAUAUUUCGGUCAUGCCGUUGGUAUGCACUGUUAUCAUUGAUUUCUCACCUUCUAAAGAACCGUAAUGCCAUUAAUUUGGUGUUACGGGAAUUAGGACUGUUACCUUGAAAAAAUUAGAGUGUUUAAAGCAG
rnacentral:rRNA from 1 species